rnacentral:lncRNA from 1 species
UUUUCAUUCGUUUUACAUCUUUCUUGAUCCAAAUUGUAUGAUAUAUUAUAUAUUGUAACGUCAUGACAAUAGGUGUAACGACAUCUUCAAAGCUUUCAACGGUAUUCACGAUUUAAGAUAUAUGAUCGAUACACUUAUAUCCGUGCAUGCGCUAUUUAUUUCAAUAAGGAAGAAAGUGCACUCAACGCUCGCUCGAUGCAUUGAAAUGAUACACACUUCGCUUACAAAAAGAUUCAAUUUGCGAAGAAACUCACAUUGUUGUGGUGAAAGCGUGAGAAUGAAUUUAACCACGUAAGAAGAAAGAAUUGAUUUUGUUCUCGAUAGUUAAUUUAAUUUCGACAAUCAAUAUUCUACUGUAUUAUAUAAUUUAUAUAAAAAUUUCAAACGUAGAAAUCUAUUAUAAAUUGUCUUUUGAAAAAUUAUUCUUAAGCAAAAAAUAAACAAUAAUAAAAAAUAUAUUAUAAAAAUAAUAAAAAUUUUAUCGACACAUAUGAUCUUUCAAUGUGUGAAAUUCACAAUACGUCUUUAUUUAUCUUUAAUUCGCACAAUUCAUCGGUCGAGAUGCUCUCACGCUGCACAAAAAAUCUCGAAAAAGCUUGAACCGAUGACGAACAUAGCGAAAAAGUAUUACUGUAAGAAUGGUCAAGAGCAUUCGCGCGAACGUAACUGAAGACCCGUUUUCAGGAAGAGGUCGUUUCUCCUCGUAGCACUUAUCGAUGCCGUUUUUACGGCCACGUCGAACAUUAGCCCAGUUGAACGUGAAAAGCACGGAUAUCGAUGUAGCUUCGGAAGAUUCUUUGCCCGUAUUACGAGAAAAUGCUGGAAAAUGGAGAAAAAUUCUGGCCGCUCGUUCCGUUGAUGAACGUCCUCGUUUUCGAUCGUGGUUUGUCUUGGGAAAUGUACUCGUGAACGUAAUAGAAUGUUAAAAUGUUCUUCCAUUUUUUGUCUUAGGUACGAUGAAAAGUAUUACAUCUUACACGAGUUCAAUAAGAAUUAAUUAGUUAGCGAAACCAAUUAGAUUCUUUUGUCUUUUUUGCAUUAUGGAUUGUGGAAAAGCGAUUUCUUUCGUGAUCUGCGAUAAAAUGGCGAAACAAUUAUAACGAGCAAGAGAAUAAUGCGAAGAGGAUAAUUCGUCGUAGAAAUUUAAUGCAAGUUGCGGUUUCAUUCAAGAUUUGAGUAAAUGCUGCAUAAAUACAAUACGUAUUCCUUCAACUUUGAAUCAUACUAUCUACAACUUGCUAAAAGUUAUCUCGUCUUGAUUAAGUUACGCAUAACUUUGAUGCAAUUCAAAUAUUACAACGUUCCAUUAAACAUUUGGUUAAACGUUUCUCGUUUUACGUAUAAUAACGAUAAGUUUCGUGUUUUAAUAUACAUAUUUCGCUAUUUGAGAUGGAAUAUUGUAAUAUUAAUGUUUCAUGAAAUAUGAGCAGUUAUAUGAAAGUUAAACGUGAAAUAAAGGAUAUAGAAUACGCGAUGUAUUAUGAAUUAUGACACACGAUAUGGAGAACUUUCUUCUAUCCUUUUCAUAUUUUGUUAAAAUAUAUAGAAUUUCUUUUCAAAAUAUAUAUUUUUAUAAUAAAUUUGUUAAAAAUAUAGUAGAGUGAUUAAAUUUAACUUAUUAGAUUGGUAUUUUUGAUAAAUACCAAUUUCGAUUCGUUGUGAAAAUAUAUAAUAUAAAUGAAAUAUUCUAUAAUGUUUGGAAUUUCUUCUCAAGGUAUGUUGCUACGGAAUUUGUAACAAAUUUACAUGUAUUAUAAUUGAUCUCAGUAAAUAUAGGAAUUUUGAAUACACGUUAUUAGAGAUUUUAGAAUUUCGCGCGGUAUGUAGCUUUAUUGAAUUUCGCCUUUCACCAUUGAAUAACUUGAAUCGGCAACUUUAUUAAAUUGUAUGGAAUUUUGAAAUACUAACCGAUCGGCAUUACUUGCAUUCAUCAAUAUCUCGCAUAUCCCUUUUUUUUAAUAUAACCUUUUAUUUCAUUUUCCACAAUUUAUAUUACGGAAAGAUUAAAAGAUCAAUAUCAAAACUGGAAGAAAACGAAAAAAAGAUUCAAUUUAACUUCUCUAUUCUAUAAUUUCAUCCUCUUUCUUCUUAAUUCAAAAUACAAUUAUAUUCCACAAUUUCACUCUCUCACCAAAUCUUUUCAUUUCAUCAAAGUACAAUCAACUUUUGCAUUCCACAAUUCCAUUAUCCAAUCAUGUUUUUUCCUUCCUAAUUCACCAAAAAUUCCUCUUCGUUCUUAUUUGAUCCAUUUUAAUCAAAACUCUAGUAAUCAACGAGCAAAAACUCCUUCCAUCCGGAUAUCGUUAAUACCGUUAAACAACAAGAUGAGCGUAUCAAACGACAUUCAUAGAAACACGUAACAGAAAAAGAAUUAAUGCGUCCUCCGACAAAAAUUACUUGAAACUUGUUACUGCAACAGGUUGUCGCUGGCGUAUUGUGGAUGCACGGAUCCGUAUGCCCUCGUUUCUACGCCGUUAAUAUACACAUACUUUACAGAACUGGUGUAAUAAACAUGCCUUCCCUUCAGUUUUACGUUCUCGCCACGUGGAACCGCGAUAUUUCAUUUACUUAAGAUCCUGAACACACGGACGACGUUCCAGUCGAUACGUGGCCAUUUAUUAAUGGGUGCGCUGUUAAAGCGUGGCAGUUUUCCAAUUUCGUGAAGUUCUAGACGUUGCACAGCUAUGGCCUGUGUAUGUAUAAAUUGUUAAAGAUCGUGAAAUCAAUUUCGAUUUUUUAAUAAUGGAUUGUGAAAGAAUUAGAAAGCUUUGAAUUUUUCAAUUUCCAUCUGAAUGGCCAGUUUAUCAUGUGUACGUACAAUACGUCUUAUGGUUAACAAUAUAACGUACGUCGAUCAUGGCAAGCGUCGAUUGUAACGCUGUGACUUGGACAGACGCGUAUUACACCAUACUAUUCGCAUCACAGAAACGGUGUAGUAAGCGAUAUCGCGUCAUAUAUGCGGCCAUGAAGGCGACAUUCAGUGGACAAACGGUUCAACCAAACAGACCUCGAUCGAUCGUCGUAGACGUGGCAAGUGCCACUUGAAUCGUGAUGUUCGAUCAAUAGGAUUCGGAGAAAUUCGAAAGGAGGACACGAAUUAAGACGAAUUUUCCUCAAAUGGAAUUCCAAUUUGCAGGAGAAAAUUUAUACAGGAAUGAAAUAAUUUUGAUUAAUUUCUUAAACUUUGUUUCUCAGUAAAAUAAUAAUUAAUAUUUGAACGUUUUAAGGAAAUCUAUGCUAUGCUUGCAAAUAAUAGAUCCAACAAAUUCUUUUUGUUCAUAUUUAAUGAUUUCGUUAAAGCUCUGAGCUAAACACGUUAUGUGUAUCUCCUAUGGCUAGAUAUUUAACUUACGUUGAUGACAUCCAAGUACAAAAAUAAUUAAAUCAUUUCAAAGAAAAUUUAACUAUGUUACUUGAUUUAAUCAAAUAAGGAAAUAAGUAGGUACGCUUGCUUACCUUAGAUGGAAGACUUUAUUAUUAAAAGUCAAAGUUAUGUAUUUGUCAAACAAUCUUGACAACUUCUGGAACUCUUCGAUGUAUAUUACUCUAUGCGAUUAUUCGUAGACAAAAAAUUCUAGAAUUUGAAUUGUAAAGUUAAAAUU